rnacentral:rRNA from 1 species
UAGGGAAUCUUCCACAAUGGACGCAAGUCUGAUGGAGCAACGCCGCGUGAGUGAAGAAGGUUUUCGGACCGUAAAGCUCUGUUGUUGGUGAAGAAGGAUAGAGGUAGUAACUGGCCUUUAUUUGACGGUAAUCAACCAGAAAGUCACGGCUAACUACGUGCCAGCAGCCGCGGUAAUACGUAGGUGGCAAGCGUUGUCCGGAUUUAUUGGGCGUAAAGCGAGCGCAGGCGGAAGAAUAAGUCUGAUGUGAAAGCCCUCGGCUUAACCGAGGAAUUGCAUCGGAAACUGUUUUUCUUGAGUGCAGAAGAGGAGAGUAGAACUCCAUGUGUAGCGGUGGAAUGCGUAGAUAUAUGGAAGAAUACCAGUGGCGAAGGCGGCUCUCUGGUCUGCAACUGACGCUGAGGCUCGAAAGCAUGGGUAGCGAACAGGAUUAGAUACCCUUGGUAGUCCAUG